CAACGAUCAAGACUUCAUGACCUCAGAGGAUUCACAGCCAGAGGCAAACCCUCAAACACAGAAAGGUUUCAGAGGAGUAGCCGCACUGCAUCCUGCGGCCGCAGCUCUGUCCUUGAGGGAUCAGAGCAGCAGUGCUGGUUGUGCAGCCUCACAGCAGCAGGAAGGAAGGACCUGCGGUAUCGCUCCUUCACACACUGAGGGUGAAGGAGCCGGUCGCUGAAGGAGCUGUUCAGUGCAGAGACGGUGUCCUGCACGGGGGUGGGAGUCGCUGUCCAUCACCGAUGAUCGCUCUGCUACCAUCCUCGUCUCUCUCCCACCACCUGCACUGUGUCCAAGGAGCAUCCCGGGACAGUCUCCUCCUGUCAGCUGUUGAGAUGCUGCUGCUGCUCAAUCAAUGAAUAUACCAUGUUAGUUGGAGGCAAUGUUUUUAGAUGAGUGGGGUGCUGCUGUGCUCAUCGGGCCUAUGGUCCCGACUGUGUGACAAUUAGUUUGAGACAAUUUUGAAAACCACAGCUUUAUUCAAGGAAUGUGCAGAAUGUGAAGUAAAAUAAUUAGUCUUAAAAAAACGACAACUUUAAAAUGUCUCCACCACAAGAUGGGGCCAAAAGAUCAAGUAAUACAGGACACAGUGGGGAUAGGUUCUCAGGAAAAGACACAGUGACAGCCUAAAAGACACUCAGUCUUUAUACGAUAUGAUUAUUUUCAUUAUCGAUUAAUCUGCCGAUUAUUUUCUCCAUAAUCGACUCGUUGUCUGAUCCAUAAAACGUCAUAAGAAUGGUGAAAAGCGUCGCUCGUGUUUCCCAAACCCCAAGAUGAUGUUUUUCGUUUUGUCCACACACCAAAGAUAUUUCGUUUACUGUCACAGAGGAGCGAAGAAACCA